UGAUUUUCAAACUAAGUUGAAACAACCGAUUGUUUUGUCGAAACAACCGAUUGUUUACACUUAGGUGUUUUGAGAAAGUUUGGAAACUGUUUUUGAAUGGUGUUUUUGUUAAGUAACAAAACAACUGAUUGAUUCGAGGAAACAAUCGAUUGUUUGUUUUAAAACCAUAACAGAAAAACUGUUUUCUUUGACUGAGCUUUAAAUGCUUUAACUGAAUACACUCCAGUCAUUAAAUGCUUUGACCAAUCUAUUUUAAAUGCAAUUAAGAGUUUGUUAAGAUUUGAUAACAAACUAUAUUCUUAGAUAUAUUCUGAAAAACAGUUUUGAUAUAUUAAGAAUCUUGAAACAUAGUUUUGAACUAAGAAGAGUUUUUCAAAGUAUUCUGAGAUUGCUAAAGAGUUGAGAGAUUGAUCAAAGUGCUGAAUAGGGAUUCUACUUGUAUUGAUUUCAGAUUUCCAUCUGUAACAAGUGUAAUCUUUGUAAACUGCUGAACAAUUCGUUUGUGUGUGUUGUUGAGAUUGGCUGUGUGUUCUUGAUGUGUUCAAGAUCAGCAAUCUUAGUGUUGGCCAAGGAGAGUGUGUUUCUUGAGGUGUUCAAGGUCAUUCUCUUGGUUGUGGUGUAAGUGAUCAAGGUGUGGUUGCUUAGUGGAUAUCCUCAGGGUUUCUGAGAAGACUGGAUGUAGCUCUAGUUUUGAGUGAACCAGUAUAAACAACUGAGUACAAUCUCUCUAUCCUUAACUCUUUAAUUUCAGUUUGUUUGUUGUUUGCUGGUAUAAACAACUGAUUGUUUCGAAGAAACAACCGAUUGUUUUUCCUGGUAUUACAGUUUUGCUUGCUGUUUUGGCUAACUGAAUUGUUGAAUCAAUUGGUUUCUGAAAUAAUUUCAUUCUAGCUUUGAAAAGUGUGCGAAAACCCCUUUAAACAAUUCACCCCCCCUCUAGUUUAAAGCCAUCUUUUCUAACAAUUGGUAUCAGAGCUUGGUUCUUGAAAGUUAUUCAAGUUGAUCCUAAAAUCUUUCAAAAUGGCUUAUAGACUACCGUUUGGGGAAGGUGCCUCAAUAAACAGACCACCCUUGUUUUGUGGUUUGAAAUACCAGUUUUGGAAAGUUUGAAUGAAAAUAUUUAUGGAAUCUCUUGACAAAGGAAUUUGGGAUGCAAUUGAAAAUGGCUCUUUUAUCCCAAUGUUUGAAAAAGAUGGUUCUGUCAUUGAGAAGCCAUGGUCUCAAUGGACUGAAGCAGAAAGUAGAAAGGACAAAUUCGAUUGCAUUGCCAAAAAUAUUAUAACCUCUGCUUUAAAUUCUGAUGAGUUUUUCAGGGUCUCACAAUGCAAAUCAUCAAAAGAAAUGUGGGAUGCUAUGGAAGUCACUCAUGAAGGAACAAAUGAGGUGAAAAGGGCUAGAAAGCAUGCUCUCAUCCAAGAGUAUGAGACGUUUAGAAUGCUGAAAGGUGAAACCAUAGCUGAAGUGCAGAAAAGGUUUACACACAUCAUCAAUCACCUUAUGAGCCUUGACAAGACGUUUGAUAAAGAGGAGCUGAACAUCAAGAUCUUAAAAUGUCUUGAUAGAGCAUGGCAACCAAAGGUAACUGCUAUUUCCGAAUCUAAAGAUCUAACAUCAUUAAGUGUUGCCUCUUUGUUUGAAAAGCUUAGGGAACAUGAGCUAGAGAUGAAUAGACUCAAUGUUCAAGAAAGUGAAGAUAAGCACACAAGGAGCAUAGCCUUGAAAGCAUCCAAACAUAAGGGAAAGCAAGAUUCAAGUGAUGAUAGUGAUGAGGAAAAUCUAAGUUUGCUGUCAAGAAAAUUCAGCAAAUUCCUCAAGAGAAACCGCAACAAAAACAACAACAAGGAUAGGUAUGGAAACAAGAAACCCAAUGAAUUUAAUUCAAAUAACUAUACUUGUUUUGGUGGUGGUGAGCAAGGUCACAUAAAGGCUGAUUGUCCCAACAAGAGUAAAGAGAAAAAGACAAGCUACAAGGAGAAGAAAGGCAAAACAAAAAAAGCCUACAUAGCUUGGGAUGAAAAUGAAGUGUCAUCAUCAAGUUCUUCAUCAAGUGAAGAUGAAAAAGCCAACAUAUGCUUAGUUGCUGAGGAUGAUGAUGAUGAUUCAUGCAGUUCAAGUGAGGUAAGUUCAUGUGCUUCCUUAAAUGAACAAAACUAUAGUGAAUUGCUUGAAGCUUUUCAAGAAACAGAUGAUGAAGCUAAUAGAUUGGUUCUUUCAAACAACCGAUUGAAAGAUCUUAACAAUGGGCUUGAAAAGAAAGUUAAAUCACUUGAAGAGGAACUGAGAAAAGCAAAAAGUGAUUUUGAAAAAUUGGAAAAAGAUUUCAAACAUGCCUCUUGCAAGUGUGAUACUCUCAAUUGCACAAAUUGUGAAAAUCUUGAGAAAAAGGUUCACUAUCUUGUUGAAACUGUGGACAAGCUUUCAAAAGGAAAGUCAAACUUUGAGAAUGUCCUAGCAUCUCAAAGCUGUGUUUUUGGAAAGGCUGGUUUAGGCUUCAAUCCACAGAACAAGCAAGAUAUGUUUUCAAAAAGUUUUUUUAGAAAAUCAGAAAAACAACCGAUUGUUAAGACGAAACAACCGGUUGUUACAUGCUUUUACUGCAUGAAGAAAGGCCACUCUGUUAGAUUCUGCAAAAUUAGAAAAUAUUAUGUUCCUAAAGGUUUUAUGAAAUGGAUUCCUAACGAAUGUGAUGUUUCUAACAGCAAAGAAAAGCCAAAUGGACCCAAAUUUGUAAGGGGACCAAAUCUUGCAACUUGUAUUGGAUUAUGCAGGAAAAAUGAAGAGAAAAAGGAAGAAUUGAGCCAACUGAUCAAGUUGUUGAAGAAAAAGGCAGUCAUUGAAGCUGAAUCAAUAAUAUGCAAAAGGUCAAAACAGUGAAAAGAAGCUUUCUUAAUCAACAAGCAAUUGGCUCAUUAAAGAAACAACACAAGGAUAAGACCUUCCUUUUAUUUGUUAUCAAUUUCUGUUUUAAAGUUCUUUCUUAUGAUUAAUUGUCUUUUAAUCAAUGUCAUGUGCCUUAAUCUGUUUCUGUUUAUGGUUAAAAAUUACAAAAUCAAGUUUUUAACUGCUGCAGAAAAACAACCGAUUGUUUCUUCGAAACAACCGAUUGUUUUGAGUCUGACAGCACUGUGUAGAAAUUGAUUUAACUGAUUUUUGAAUUUCUAGCCGUUGCAGAUAUUUUUCAAAGGGAGAAUCUUGGUCAAAGGAUCUGUGUUGAAAGCUGAUCAUGUUCAGAAAGGAUUUACAACAGUCAUAAAGGAAUAUAUUCCAAAAUCUUGGAAAUUCAAGAGCCUUAAUGACUAGUCAAAGAUCACAUGUGAAGACCAUGUGAUUUUCAGCAUUUUCUGACAUUUUCAGUGCAGAACAGAGUCAAGUCCUCUCUCUGAAAAUUAGGUACCCAUUGAAUGAAAUUAAAUUCAAAUUGAUUCUCUUUCUACUAUAAAAUCAGGUGCAGAUUUCUUUCAUCAAGAACAACCAAUUGCAACAUCUCUUGCAACAUCUCUUGCACCAUCUCUUGCAAAUUUCUGUGAAGUGAGUUUUCAUCUCAGCUGUCAUGGAAUCAACCCCUCCCACCUCUAAAAGAGUAAAAACCAGAGCUGUAAGGUCUGGAGGAAGGCUUGAAAGCUGGUUUUCUGGUCACACCAAACUCAUUGAGAAGUAUAGAUAUGAAACAAGUGUCAAGAAAAUAAACAACCCCAAGGUUGUGUGCUUUGACUGGCUGAAGAGUCAAAAACUUGACAAUGUGAGGAAGCUUCUCAAAGACUAGUCACUCAGAAAGUUUCUGGAGCUCAAAGGGAACAUUUAUCCAGAUUUGGUGAGGGUCUUCUACACCAACUUGAAGUUUGAGGGAAACAACUUGGUCUCUCAUGUGAAAGGCGUGGAGAUGGAGAUAACCCAUGAGGUUUGGGCUGCUGUAGCUGGGCUUAAGUUCUCUGGAUUAAGAAUCAACAAAGGAAACCUUGGUGUGGUAGAAGAUUUCAACAAAAUCCAGUUCUACAAAAGUUGCUUGAAGAACAAACAAUCUCAAGUUAGCACUUGCUCGGUUGGAGGCUUGAAGAUUGAUGAGAGGUUGCUUGCUCUCAUUGUAACUUGGAUCCUAACUCCAAGGGGGAGUAAUCACUCAGUGUUGACUGAAAAAGAUCUGGUUUACAUCUUCUGCAUCACCAAGAAAGUGAAGAUCAAUUGGAUUCACAUAAUCAAGGAACAUAUGCAAAAAGCUAUGAGGUUAGGCGAUUACCACUAUCCCUAUGCUGUUUUAAUAUCUAAGUUUCUACAUUAUUUUGAAGUUAAUCUUGAAGAUGAAACUUCUGAGCUAGUCAAGUCAACUCAAGAGUUGAACAAUGGAUCACUCAGCAAGAUGGGCUUCACAAAAAUAGGUGGAAAAUGGUUAAGUAAGGAUGGUGAUCAUGGUGCAUCAUCAAGUGGUGCUGCUCACCUUGAACAAGAUGAACCUGCUGACAUGGAUGUUCAACAUGAAGAUCCACCUGAAGAUUUUCAAGAUGCAGGACCUAGUGUUGAUACUGAACAUCAAGGAGAAAGAAUGCAAACCAUGUCUCCUUUUGAAAGACUCAUGGUGAAUAGGCUAGAUACCUUUGCUGAAAAUCAAAGGAGCCUUCAUGAUCUAUGUGUUAGCAACUUUCAGAGGAUAGAUACGAGGUUUGACAACAUGGAUGCAAGGUUUAUGACUCUGGACGAAUAGAUUGAAGCUGUACAGAAUCAAAUCUUUGACCUUCAGUUUGCUGAUGAAGAAGAUUGAGAGAAAAACAACCGAUUGGCCAUCGAAACAAUCGAUUGUUUUUGGCUGUUCUCUUUUCUGGUUCUAAAUUUCUUUACUUCUGCUGUUGCUGGUUUAUUCUGAUGUAAUUGGAACAAUGUUUUAUUUUAUCUCUUAUCUUUGUCUAUUUGUGAAGACAAAUAGGGGGAGAUAUAUGCUGUGUUUCCAAUUUAUUUUAAGUUUCUGUUUUUUUUUAAAAACAGUUUGAGUGAUGAUUAUUUGGUUCUGAUAUUGAAUGUUUUAAGCUUUAAUUGUUUAUCUGUAUGCUAACAAAAUAUCAUAAGUUCAAUGUAUUGCUCAAAGUUCUAUUGCAGGAAUUGCCUCAUAUUUAAUCAAAGAACAACACAAGCAUCAGGGAUUUGUCUUCAUCAAAUAGGGGGAGAUUGUUGAACCAAGUGGUGUUCAAUGUUUUGAAGAAUCUAAAUCCUUUAAAGGAUGAUGAAGCCUCUGCUUUGCUUGAUGCUGCUGUGCUGGUUUUAGCCUUGUUCUGGGGUAGUUCAAUGUUGUAAUCAACACUUAGAUUAAAUCUCAAAGCAAUUAGCAUCUCAAUUUUAUCAAAGCAAAAUGAUUUUCAAACUAAGUUGAAACAACCGAUUGUUUUGUCGAACAACCGAUUGUUUACACUUAGGUGUUUUGAGAAAGUUUGAAAACUGUUUUUGAAUGGUGUUUUUGUUAAGUAACAAAACAACCGAUUGAUUCGAGGAAAAAAUCGAUUGUUUGUUUUAAAACCAUAACAGAAAAACUGUUUUCUUUGACUGAGCUUUAAAUGCUUUAACUGAAUACGCUCCAGUCAUUAAAUGCUUUGACCNNN
rnacentral:lncRNA from 1 species